GACAGAGGGUGCAACCGUUGUUCGGAAUUACUGGGCGUAAAGCGCGUGUAGGCUGCUCCGCACGUCGGAUGUGAAAGCCCUGGGCUCAACCUAGGAAGUGCAUUCGAUACUUCGGAGCUGGAGUCCUGGAGAGGAAGGCGGAAUUCUCGGUGUAGAGGUGAAAUUCGUAGAUAUCGAGAGGAACACCGGUGGCGAAGGCGGCCUUCUGGACAGUGACUGACGCUGAGACGCGAAAGCGUGGGGAGCAAACAGG
rnacentral:rRNA from 1 species